GAUGAACGCUGGCGGCGUGCUUAACACAUGCAAGUCGAACGGUGAAGGCGGAGCUUGCUCUGCUGGAUCAGUGGCGAACGGGUGAGUAACACGUGAGCAAUCUGCCCCUGACUCUGGGAUAAGCGCUGGAAACGGCGUCUAAUACUGGAUACGAGCUGCGACGGCAUCUUCAGCAGCUGGAAAGAAUUUCGGUCAGGGAUGAGCUCGCGGCCUAUCAGCUUGUUGGUGAGGUAAUGGCUCACCAAGGCGUCGACGGGUAGCCGGCCUGAGAGGGUGACCGGCCACACUGGGACUGAGACACGGCCCAGACUCCUACGGGAGGCAGCAGUGGGGAAUAUUGCACAAUGGGCGAAAGCCUGAUGCAGCAACGCCGCGUGAGGGACGACGGCCUUCGGGUUGUAAACCUCUUUUAGCAGGGAAGAAGCGAAAGUGACGGUACCUGCAGAAAAAGCGCCGGCUAACUACGUG
rnacentral:rRNA from 1 species